CACGUAGGGUGCGAGCGUUGUCCGGAAUUAUUGGCGUAAGAGCUCGUAGGCGGUGUGUCGCGUCGGCCGUGAAACCUGCAGCUUAACUGUGGCUUGCGUCGAUACGCAUCGACUGAGUCGCAGGGAGACUGAUCUGUGUAGCGUGAACUGCGCAGAUAUCAGAGACACCGUGCGAGCGUCUCUGCGAUACUGACGCUGAGA
rnacentral:rRNA from 1 species